rnacentral:rRNA from 1 species
AGAGUUUGAUCAUGGCUCAGGACGAACGCUGGCGGCGUGCUUAACACAUGCAAGUCGAACGGAGAAUCGUGCGGAACGAGGAUUCGUCCAAGUGAAGCAGAGGACAGUGGCGGACGGGUGAGUAACGCGUGAGGAACCUGCCUUUCAGAGGGGGACAACAGUUGGAAACGACUGCUAAUACCGCAUGACACAUAGAUGUACGCAUUGGCAUUUAUGUCAAAGAUUUAUCGCUGAAAG